ACGGGGUGCAGCAGGCGCGAAACCUCCGCAAUGGGUGAAAGCCUGACGGGGGGACGGGGAGUGCCGGGGGAUUUUCCCCCGGCUUUUGGGGAGUGUAAAAAGCUCCCCGAAUAAGCGGUGGGCAAGAGGGGUGGCAGUCGCCACGGGAAUACCCCCGCCGCGAGCGGUGGCCUCGAUUACUGGGCCUAAAGGGGCCGUAGCCGGGCCGGUGUGACCCCUGUGAAAUCCUCGGGCUCAACCCGAGGGCGCGCAGGGGUUACUACCGGCCUAGGGGACGGGGGAGGUGGGGAGUACUCCUGGGGGAGCGGUGAAAUGCUGUAAUCCCAGGAGGACUACCCGAGGCGAAGGCGCCCCACCAUCCCGUACCCGACGGUGAUGGCCGAAAGCUGGGGGAGCAAAUGGGAUUAGAGACCCCAGUAGUCCCAGCUGUCAACGCUGCGGGCUACCUGCCGGGUGGGUUAAGAACCCACUCGGUGGGGUAGGGAAGCCGUUAAGCCCGCCGCCUGGGGAGUACGGCCGCAAGGCUGAAACUUAAAGGAAUUGGCGGGGGAGCAC
rnacentral:rRNA from 1 species